GAAUAAACGUAAUUGUUAAAAACAAGUAAAAAAUGUAAUUUGAAGAAUGUUUUCGGAUUUAUUGAUUAAAACAAGCAGACAAAGGGCGAAAUUAUUAACAUGAUGGUGAUCUCAAGAAAUUUUGAGAACAACAUGGCAAACGACUCUAUUUUAGGAUUGUGGCAAAACGUGUAUCAUUUUUCCUACCAAGUUGGUUCCCAAUCGUAAGUGGAAUCACGAUCGCUUCUCGUGGAAACUGGGGUUCCAAGCUACGGUUUUUUUCGAACAAUAACGAGCGACUUAACGAAUUGCUUGGAUAGAAGACAGAGACGCUGAUGGAAAUGCGGCGUGGAAGGCGUCAGUUUUCGUAAGACUUUUAUUUGUAAAAGCAAUCCGGUGGAAAAAAUUUAUUAUCCAUGUAUUUUAUUCGUAUUAAAUUUCAUUGUUUUUCUUAAAAAUAAUUAACACUUGGGACUCAAUAAUAGUAAUUCUGGAAUAGAAAUGCAUAUUCAGGGAAAUAAUGUCUAUGUACAUAACAAAAUUUUCUAAAAUGCACAAAGGAAUAAAAAUGUUUUGGAAGAUAAAAUAUUAACAUGUCAAGGAUUGGUACAUCACUAUUUGAACAUUUUGAGCAAACAACCCGACCACAGUGGCGACUAUAAUUCAUAAAUAUAAUAAUAAAAGAGCAUUUAGAGAAAAUAAUUUUCAAAGAAUAUUCGAUUUUGCUGCAAUACAACAAAAAAUCAUCGAUAUGCUCUGCAUAUAUAGAUUUAGAAGAUUUUCUGUUACCUUUGAAUUUU